AAGAGGGAUAUCCACACUCGAGGAAUCCUUUUGUUACAAGUAAAGAAACCCCGUCCCAGAAAAAAGUCUUUUCUGUUUGUAUUAAGUUACUCGUUGUGGUGGAGUGGUAAGUACUCCUUCAUCAUUAAUCACAUGUCUCGGGUUUGAGUCCUAGUGGUUGUGGAGUUGCCCUUCUUUAGGGAGCGCUUUACCCAAAUGUGGGACUUCUGGCACGAAUCGAGAUGUAGUUGACCUUAAUGCGGGUAUCACACACUGGGUGGAAAAGCAAAAACAGAAAAAGUUACUCGUUGUUGUUCCUCAAAGCAUCAUCCGUCGUCAUCUGAUUGAGACAAGGUGCUUUAAAAACUUAUGCUCGCCAGCAAAUGGUUGAUGAAAUCUGAUUGACACUGCUAAAAUCAAAGACGAGGAAUGUUACGUCCCGUAUUUUUAUACAUUGGGACAACCCGGAUUAACUAUGAUAAUGUAAGGCCAAGACCAUUCCGGGAUUUGAAGUCGGGACUUUUGACCAUUUGAUUUUAUUUUGAGACAUAAGUUGUAUAUAAAAUUGUUGGCAUUGUACACUUAGAAAAAAAAAAUUUGGGACCACAAUUCACAAAAUGGGAAUUUAAAAAUCUUGCAAAAUAAGGCCAUGGUGGCCGUGUAUAUGAAGUGGUCCCACACAAUUGUGUGGCCAAUUUUAAAUGGUCCAACACAUUGUGUGGGCCAAAGACUUGUAUAGAUAUUUGGUGGACACCUAAAAGAUGAAAACCAAGUCAUCUUUAUUCAUUUCCCACACUUAGAACAAAUAGCAAGAAGGAGAAAAAUCCCUCCAACCUCACGGCUGAACCAUGGAAAAAUCAAGAUCAUUUCUAGCCUCUCCAAAAAAAAUUUCUUUGGUAUAAACCCACUAUUUUGAGGUCCCUAAGUAACGUGGAAGCGUGGUUGGAGCGAUCAAGCCAUCAAUUUUGUGGAUUUCAAACCCUAGCCUAAUUGUGGAGUAAAGAAGAAAGACCUUGGGGAGCCCGAGGCGUAGAUUGGGAUUUACUUUAGAUUGGCUAUUUUGGAGUGCGUACAAGGUAUGUAAGGCAACUUCCUUUCUUUUUGGCAUGUCUUAGUUUUCAUAGGCUAAAUUAGAGCCUUAAGGAAAAUUCCAAAUCCGAAAUCCGAGCAUGUUAUGAUCCAUAUAUGUUCUUUGACACUUUUAUGUAUGAUCUGAUGAAAUAUGAACCUUUAUGUAUUUGAAAAAUCGCUUUUCGAACUUUGCGCAAAAAGGUUUCCCUUUAAGGAACUUCGAAAUAUCCGAAUGCCAUAUCUUUCACAUAAAUGCUCGGAUUGCUCCAAUAUAUUUUUAUAAAAGUUUGCAUUACGUAUAACGAGUAUGUUUUCCAUAAGCGGCCCGACUUGGGUAAAUUCCCAUCCGUGGGUCCCGCGACUUCCUUUUAUGAAAUUCGGGAGAUUUUGAAAGAAUUUUUUAAGAAUAUUAUUCAAUUUUCAAAUAUGAUCGUUUUGCUUAUGUUUGAAUUUAUGAUAUUGAUUUUAUGCAUAUGACUACUCACGACUCUAUUCGUGCAUUUUGUUAUUCCCUUCGCCGAGUCCCGGGCCGGUUCUGUUAUCGUGCGCAUUUUGAUAUACUCCGGAGUUAUGCUGUGUUUAUGGUUCACCGAGCUACUCGCAAAAGAGGGAUGGGUUCCACCUAUACUUGGUGUUAUGCUGUGUAUGGCGUUAUGUUGUGAUGUGAUAUGUGACGGGGAUACGGAGAUUUGAGACUUUCUGGUGUUAUGCUGUGUUAUGGCGCCAUCGACGGGCGGGCGACCAUAUUCUUCUGUACCCUAUGCAUGAUUUAUAUUUUUAAACUAAACAUUUUGAUAUGAUUGGAUUUGUACUUAUGUUCGGCACUUCUGCUUCGUUUAUGUCUCAGGUUUGUUUUCUGUAUAUUCUGCUUAGCAUACUCAGUACAUAUUCCGUACUGACCCCCCUUUCUUCGGGGGGCUGCGUUUCAUGCACGCAGGUACAGACGCACAGUUUGGUGAUCUACCCAUUUAGGACACCCUCUUCUGCUGUUUGGAGUGCUCUUCUCAUUUCAGAGCACACAUUUUGGUAUAUAUUUGUUCGCUAUGUAUAUAUGUAUUUGUUCAGGGGUACGGAGGGGCCCUGUCCCGCCAUAUGUUUCGGUUUGUCUGUUUAGAGGUUUGUAGACGUAUUUGUGGGUGUGUGUGCCUACUUCUGUACAGAUGAAUUUAUAUGACCCUAUUCGCUAUGACAGCCUUGUCGGCUUUUGACGUAUUUGACAGCCUUGUCGGCUUUUGACA